GUUUCUGUAAUGUAGUGUUUAUCCCGUUCGCCUACCACGCAGAACGUCCCCAGUUCAAAACUGGGUGGAAACA